AUGGGGAGACGCAAUCCGGCUAAUUGGGGCCUUGGCUUGCCUGUCCCCUGUAUGUUUUCCUGCGCUCGCUCUCGCCUGCUACCCCAGAAUCCGCCCGCGGUCCCAGGUAGUCCAGCCUCUCCGGCUAGCCUACUGCUCCCUCUGGGCCCCGCCCACCCCCUCGCACCCCUGCGAGCCUGGGCCAGGUGGUGGAGGCUGCAGCGGCGCCCUGCCGCUGAUUGGCUGUUGCGGUCGCGGGGCGGGGCCAGUGAGAGACUUUGGACCUCGGCGGUUUUCGCCAUCUUUCCCGCCAAGUCUUUUGUGAAGAGCGGGAGGCGUUCGGUGCCGUGCUGCCGCCGCCUUGGCACCUCGCAGUACCCUGCCUUCUCUCAGGUGGACAGUUGGGGUGAAGGCGAAGUCGACGACGAGGAGGGGUGCAACCAAGUGGCCCGCGACUUGCGGGCAAAGUUCUGGGCUGGGCCGUCGUCGGCGUCCAAGAGGGGUUCUCUGUUCCCGCCAGAUGGAGAUGGGUCGCUGGUGCAGCCAGAGAAGCGCAAUGGCGUCUUCGGGCUGCUGCGGGAAGCUGAACUCUGGCUCGGCGGUGGCCGGUUCAGGUCCUUUCUAUUCUGUGUUCGCUGCUGUUCGCCAUCCUCCUUGCCUUUCUGCUCGCCAUCGUCUACCUGGUCGUUAAAGAGUUGUAUGCUGAGAAUUUGAAAAGUGAAGAUGGCAUAGACACUGGGCUGUUAGGAUUCUGGACUCUGCUUAUAAUAUCCCUAACUGCUGGAUUCUCCUGUUGCAGCUUUCUUGGAUAGUGACUUAUUUUGAUUCUUUUGAACCAGGAAUGUUUCCUCCUACUCCUCUCGCACCUUCCAGGUUCAAGAAACUGACAGGACACUCCUUCCACAUGGGCUAUAGCCUGGCCAUUUUGAAUGGCAUUGUGGCUGCUCUUUCUGUAGCAUGGUGCCUCAUGGAAAUCCACACAGCAGAUUUCUGAACAGAAACCCUAUAUGCUGUGAGAGAAUGGAGAGAUACAUUUCAAGUCCUUAAGGAAAAUUUGCCAUCCCAGAAUAAUGUGCUCAGAGAAGCACACACAUUUAUAAAUGAAGCUGAAACAAAGUCCUUCCAAGACUAUGUAAAAUGGAAAGAAUUUGUCACCACUAUGCCAACCUUACAAAUGAUACCUAGGGAUGUGCUACACAGAAAUAGGGAAAGAUAACCAGCACAGUUAAAGAAUGUGAUGGCAGAAAAUGUCCUAGUAAUAGUUUGAAG